rnacentral:rRNA from 1 species
UACGCAGGGGGCUAGCGUUGCUCGGAAUCACUGGGCGUAAAGCGCACGUAGGCGGCUUGCUAAGUCAGGGGUGAAAUCCUGGAGCUCAACUCCAGAACUGCCUUUGAUACUGGCGACCUUGAGUCCGGGAGAGGUGAGUGGAACUGCGAGUGUAGAGGUGAAAUUCGUAGAUAUUCGCAAGAACACCAGUGGCGAAGGCGGCUCACUGGCCCGGUACUGACGCUGAGGUGCGAAAGCCAGGGUAGCGAACGGG